rnacentral:siRNA from 1 species
GGCAAAGGUGGACUCCAGUGCA